rnacentral:rRNA from 1 species
GAUGAACGCUGGCGGCGUGCCUAAUACAUGCCAGUCGAGCGAACGGACGAGAAGCUUGCCUCUCUGAUGUUAGCGGCGGACGGGUGAGUAACACGUGGAUAACCUACCUAUAAGACUGGGAUAACUUCGGGAAACCGUAGCUAAUACCGGAUAAUAUUUUGAACCGCAUGGUUCAAAAGUGAAAGACGGUCUUGCUGUCACUUAUAGAUGGAUCCGCGCUGCAUUAGCUAGUUGGUAAGGUAACGGCUUACCACGGCAACGAUGCAUAGCCGACCUGAGAGGGUGAUCGGCCACACUGGAACUGAGACACGGUCCAGACUCCUACGGGAGGCAGCAGUAGGGAAUCUUCCGCAAUGGGCGAAAGCCUGACGGAGCAACGCCGCGUGAGUGAUGAAGGUCUUCGGAUCGUAAAACUCUGUUAUUAGGGAAGAACAUAUGUGUAAGUAACUGUGCACAUCUUGACGGUACCUAAUCAGAAAGCCACGGCUAACUACGUG